AGAGUUUGAUCAUGGCUCAGAUUGAACGCUGGCGGCAUGCCUAACACAUGCAAGUCGAACGGUAACAGGCCGCAAGGUGCUGACGAGUGGCGGACGGGUGAGUAAUACGUAGGUAUCUGCCCUGUAGUGGGGGAUAACCCGGGGAAACUCGGGCUAAUACCGCAUACGCUCUUUUAUCGUUGAGAUAGGAGAGGAAAGCGAGGGACCGAAAGGCCUCGCGCUAGAGGAUGAGCCUACGCCCGAUUAGCUAGUUGGUAGGGUAAAGGCCUACCAAGGCGACGAUCGGUAGCUGGUCUGAGAGGAUGGCCAGCCACACUGGGACUGAGACACGGCCCAGACUCCUACGGGAGGCAGCAGUGGGGAAUAUUGGACAAUGGGGGAAACCCUGAUCCAGCGAUGCCGCGUGGGUGAAGAAGGCCUGCGGGUUGUAAAGCCCUUUCAGUGGGGAAGAAAAACGGGGUGCGAAAAGCGCUUCGUCUUGACGUUACCCACAGAAGAAGCACCGGCUAACUCCGUGCCAGCAGCCGCGGUAAUACGGAGGGUGCGAGCGUUAAUCGGAAUUACUGGGCGUAAAGGGCGCGUAGGCGGUUAGGUAAGUCGAGUGUGAAAGCCCUGGGCUUAACCUGGGAAUGGCAUUCGAGACCACCUAUCUAGAGUCUGGUAGAGGGAAGUGGAAUUUCCGGUGUAGCGGUGAAAUGUGUAGAUAUCGGAAGGAACACCAGUGGCGAAGGCGACUUCCUGGACCAGGACUGACGCUGAGGCGCGAAAGCGUGGGGAGCAAACAGGAUUAGAUACCCCAGUAGUCC
rnacentral:rRNA from 1 species